UACGGGGGGAGCAAGCGUUGUUCGGAUUUACUGGCGUAAAGGGCGCGUAGGCGGCCAGCACAAGUCAGUUGUGAAAUCUCCGGGCUUAACUCGGAAAGGUCAACUGAUACUGUGCGGCUAGAGUGCAGAAGGGGCAACUGGAAUUCUCGGUGUAGCGGUGAAAUGCGUAGAUAUCGAGAGGAACACCUGCGGCGAAGGCGGGUUGCUGGGCUGACACUGACGCUGAUGCGCGAAAGCCAGGGGAGCGAAGCGGG
rnacentral:rRNA from 1 species